CAUGAGUUCUUGCGAUGUCAUGGAUCAUGUAAUUACUGUCAAGAAUGCUGCCAUUCGCUGAUUGCAACUAAAUGUACAGAUGAAAGGCCCUUUUGUUUUAAUGCUAUUGAUGCAUCGCAAGUUGGUGAAACUGAUUUGUCUAGCUGGAUGCAAAAUUAGGAUUGAGUUUUACCCGUGCUGUUCUCGUUGCUCCUGUCAAGGUUUGCUUCUGCUUGCCUGUGUAAAGUGUAUGCUUGCCUGUGUCACACCAGAAGCGGGAUUUUUUCUUGUUUGACUUUGUGUUCUUGAC